AUUACAUCAUUCAAAAUUUUCUUACAUAAUCCAACUUUUAUUUUGGGUAACACAAGCAUAUAUUACUCAAUUAUUUAUCUGGGACCCCAAAAAUGGAUAUUUGCGUGGGAACAAAAUUAUAAAGUGAGACAUGGUAGAUUGGUGAUUAUUAAUGUUAUCCCUUCCAAUUCUACUAUAUACACUCUUUGAAGAGGAGCUUUAACUUGAAAUCUGCCAUAUUUAAGAAUACAUACAUACAUACAUACAUACAUACAUAUAUAUAUAUAUAUAUAUAUGUAGGGAAUAUGAUCCUCUCUGGAUCCAAUCCAUUUGGAUCGUCAGGAUCUCACCCGCCCAGCUGAAUUCUUCCCCCAAUUCUAGUAACAAAUGGCACAAUUUCAAAACAACGAGUUGAAGUACGGCGUCAACGACUACUACGACGUUGCCGACUUCGAAGACAUUGACGCUUUUGCCAAUAACCAGCUCCGGCAAAGCCACGACACCGACUUGGAUUUUAAUGAAGAAGGAUUCGAAAGAUGUGAAUGGAUGUGAUCUGGAGAGGAUCCUAUCCCAUUAUAUAUAUAUAUAUAUAUAUGCGCUACUAUACUGCAAAUCUAAUUUCUUUAACAUGAAGAUUGCUAUCUUCAUUUCAUGCUUUCCAAAACCCACCCACUCUUUCGCAACAUAUAAAAUAUUAAAAAAAUAAAAAAACAAAUGAAGCAUUAUAUUCUCAAA